GGAAGCAGCCUGGGCCGCUGCGCAGAGGCGCGGCGGCUGUACAACUGGGCCGUUGUCACCAUGCCGGUCGUCCGGAAGAUUUUCCGUCGCCGCCGGGGCGACUCGGAGUCAGAGGAAGAUGAGCAGGACUCAGAGGAGGUUCGUGCUGUGGCCUUGCUGGUGGGAGAGAAGGUACAAGAGGAGACCACUCUAGUGGAUGAUCCCUUUCAGAUGAAGACAGGUGGUAUGGUGGAUAUGAAGAAACUGAAGGAAAGGGGCAAAGAUAAGAUCAGUGAGGAGGAGGACCUGCACCUGGGGACAUCGUUUUCUGCAGAAACCAACCGAAGGGAUGAGGAUGCAGACAUGAUGAAGUACAUUGAGACAGAGCUAAAGAAGAGGAAAGGGAUCGUGGAACAUGAGGAACAGAAAGUUAAGCCAAAGAAUGCAGAGGACUGUCUUUAUGAACUUCCAGAAAACAUCCGCGUGUCCUCAGCAAAGA
rnacentral:sRNA from 1 species